AUUGAACGCUGGCGGCAGGCCUAACACAUGCAAGUCGAACGGUAACAGGAAGAAGCUUGCUUCUUUGCUGACGAGUGGCGGACGGGUGAGUAAUGUCUGGGAAACUGCCUGAUGGAGGGGGAUAACUACUGGAAACGGUAGCUAAUACCGCAUAACGUCGCAAGACCAAAGAGGGGGACCUUCGGGCCUCUUGCCAUCGGAUGUGCCCAGAUGGGAUUAGCUUGUUGGUGGGGUAACGGCUCACCAAGGCGACGAUCCCUAGCUGGUCUGAGAGGAUGACCAGCCACACUGGAACUGAGACACGGUCCAGACUCCUACGGGAGGCAGCAGUGGGGAAUAUUGCACAAUGGGCGCAAGCCUGAUGCAGCCAUGCCGCGUGUAUGAAGAAGGCCUUCGGGUUGUAAAGUACUUUCAGCGGGGAGGAGGGGAGUAAAGUUAAUACCUUUGCUCAUUGACGUUACCCGCAGAAGAAGCACCGGCUAACUCCGUG
rnacentral:rRNA from 1 species